rnacentral:lncRNA from 1 species
UUUUUUUUUUUCUUUUUUUUUUUUUUCUCUCCACUUUACUGAAACACCCACCCACAAAGUUACUCAGCAGGUAACUGAAAUACGGAGCAUUUCAAGGAUUAGGUGUGUUUGACAGCACAAUCCUGGGUUGAUGGCGUGAACGGUGUGUUUCAAGUCUGAGGUUGGUGGUGAUUAUUUUCCUCGUUGAGUGGUUGAAACCUUGGGGAUGGGAACUAUGCCACCUUCUCCUCAGCACCUUUCCUGAUGCGUGUUAGCUACUUAGUACAUAGUUGUAGUAGGUGAUGGGUUGAUUAGUCAACUACUUGUCUGUCUAGCUUCACAAAGGGAGUUAGUUAUGCUACAAGUGUUGAACAUACUUAGCCAGUGACAGAAAACAGAUGUGGUUUGAACCCUAUAAAUGAUUUAAUUCAGAAAACAGUUAAAUAUGAUCAUAUUGUUUUAUGUAUCCAGCUCAAUGAGAAUUGCUUGCACAGGUCAUAUGAGUGAGGAUUGAAUGAGUUAAUAUUUCUAGAGCACUUUAGGUGUGCCGAAUACAUAGUAACAGUAAGUAGUAGCUACUCUUUUAUUUUAUUUUAUUUAUUUAUUUUUUUUUUAGUAGUAGCUACUCUUGCUAUUAUUUUUAUUAAGAGAGAGAAAAUGAAUACAAAUGAUGGUUGCCUGAUGAGAAUGUUUCUCGGUUCUUCCUGGAGCCAAUAUUCCUUACCUCUCGGUGUUGUGUUUGCUUUACUAGAAGAAAGCAUUAAGUACAUUAGAUACGUUGCCAUCAGGAUGGCUGUUUUAAAAUAUAAGACUGAUCAUGUCAUAGGCCUUCUUUAAAAUCCCACAGAGGCCUGCCAUUGCCUUCAAAAUGAAAUGUGAAGUCUUUAGCAUGAUAUGUAAGGCUCCUUGUGAUUUGAUCUUUUAAUUUCAUCUAAUCCAAUUUCAUUGGCUUUUCCUUAACCACAGUCCUUUGCCACAAUUUGGGUUAUGUGUCCCAAUUGUGUGUCCCUACAAUAUUCUGGCGUUAUUUGUCUCCCAGUACUUAUUAUACUAAAUUGUAUGGGUCUGCUUCCUUGCUCAGGAAAGGAAGUCCACAAUUAGACUUUAUUUUGUUUGCUGUUGUCUAGCACAGGAAUCAGCAAACUUUUUCUAAUUUGGUAAAUGCUUUCGGUUUUGUACUGUCACUGACGCAACUACUCGGUUCUGUCGUUGUAGCACAAGAGCAGCCAUAGACAAUAUGCAAAGGAACGAACGUGACUGUGUUCCAGCAAAACUCUAUGGAUUCGGAUUUGAAUUUUUAGAAUUUGAAUUUCAUGUAAUUUUCGUGUAUCAUGAGAUGGUAUUCUUUUAAUUUUUUUCACCCAUUUAAAAAUGUAAAAAUUAUUCUUAGUCUCUGGGUUCUACAAUAACAAGCAGCAAGAAAAAUUUGACCUGUAUGGUAUUUGCUGAUCCCUGGUCUAGCAAAAUGCCUGGCAUAGAAAUGGUGCUUAGCCCAUACCUUUGAGUAAAUGAGUAAAGGGGUAUAUUUUCAUUGAAAUUGUUUUCAAGGGAAAAACAAGGAGGAAAUUUACAUGACCACCUGUUGCCUGUAUUAUAGAGGCUAAACUGCAUAGCGUGGCAUGGAAGAAACUUCACAGUCUGGUUUGGUAAUUACUGUCCUCUUACUCAUCUGAUGGCACCUCAUGGCCCCUUCCCAGUACCCUCUAUGCUGCAACUCACAUUACGAAUUGACAUUCUCUGGAGCACCAUGCGCAUUCCUACCGCUAGGCCAUGUGUCUUGUCUCUUUCUCUAUAUGGAAUGUGCUUUCCUAUUGUUGGUUUGUUUUAAUUUUUUUCUCACAGAACUAUUAUUUGUCCUUCAUGAUUCAGCUCUUCUCCAGAUAGAAAAGAAGGGAUGGGGACUUGGUGAGGGCACCAUCCUUCUGUUUCUGCGGGGCUUUUAUAUAUCUCUAGGGUAGCACUGUCCACAUUGUAUUUCACCUUUUACCUUUGUGUGUGUUGCUUUUCCCAACACGUUUUGAAGUCACAUGCCUUGUGCCAGUGUAGAACUUGGCAUUGGUGGGCAUUUAUUAACAACUUAAUAACAUGAAGCUUUUUCAUAUAAAUGUGAAUUCCCAGUAUCCUACUGAGACUGGCAUUGGCUUAAUCUACAAUGAUGAGACUAACUUUUAGUAAUUAUUGUCAGGUGACCUCGGUGUUUAACAUUGAAAUGAAUACAAUUAAAAUGGAAUAUAAUUGUAGGUAUUAACAAGGCAUUGAAAAAAUUGGAAACUUGGUUGAAAGCAUUAUGUAUGGCAUAUAGCAUCAAUUUUAUUUUAUUUUUUAUUUUUUAUUUUUUUUCAACAUCAAUUUUAUAACUUGAUUUCAAGUUUAGUUGUACUGAAAUCUCUAGAUAUUUAAAAAAAAAGGCUGUCUUUAAGCCUUUGCUUAAAGACAUUUGUGUGAAUAAAUAUUGAUAUCAUCUAACCACAUAUGUGUAUUGCUCUUGUUCUCUGGAAACACAAAGGACAGUGAUAGUACUGGGGAUUUUGUGGUCAAAUGUAAUGGAUUUUGGUUCAUGAUUAUGUUAUUUCAGCAAGUUAAUAGGUUUCAAAACUUUACUUUUGUGGAAUUUAGCUGAAUGAGAUGGGAAACAUUUUGUAAUGUACAUUAAUUACCAUGUCAGGUGUUCUGUUAUUAUAAAUUAUCUCAAACAUUUUAUACAUGCUCAGUCCUUAUUUACUGUGGGAAUACUCAGGACCUUAUAUCAUAGAUCUCCUAGUUCCCUGGGGAAAUUUCCUGCAUUCUCCCAAACUAUAAGAUUUCCAAUUGAGAUCAGUGUUCUGGGUGUAUUUCACCAUAAAUAUCUUGGGAAAUCUCUCUAGGAAUUGAAGGCACAUCAUCAUGUGCAACGAAUAACAAGCUUUUCCAUUGUUGGGCAUUUAUUUUCAUUCGUUCUGAUAAUUAUAACAGAUCAUAGUGAGUUUCAAUGAUAAUUUACGUUGUCAUUAUAAACAGAAUGUCUGAACGUUGGCUGCUCACCUUUUUUUUUUUUUUUUAAGAGGAUUGCAUACUAAUGAUUGGAAAUCAGCACGUAUUCAGUUGGUCCAGGUGUUUCUAAAAUAUGUGCCAUGUUAAUGUGAAAAACAAGAGCAACUAUGCUCAGGUGAACUUACCUGGUAUUUAACUUGUCGGAAGUCAUUACAUGGGGGAAAAAAGUUUUCUUGCGGUUAUAGGAGAAAACAAUGAUGCAGAAUGUUAACAGAUUAUACUCCAGAAUAGGGAUAUUUCACGCUAAGCCCCCAUCCUUAGGCCUUUGGAUACCUGACUUAAUUUUAAGCUAGAAUUUAUUUUCUUACAAAUUCUCUGGAAUCCAGACCCCUUCGUGAUAGGAAUUGUGUCCCGUAGCUUUGUGUAUUUAGCAGUGCCUGGUACAGUGUCUUGUAUAUACAUUUGCUGAAUUAAAUCAUAUUUAUAAACAGUUCAGACAGUAUGUAUGCAAAAGAGGUGAUCUCUAAAUUGCCCUCCUAGAAUAACUUUUCAAAUGUGUGCUAUUUCUAUAGGCAUAAAAUAAUUAAAUGAUGGUCUCAGCAUUCAUUCACUGAGAACCUAGUAUCUUAUAUUUUACACAUUAACUUGCUUAACUUUCAAAACAGUGGUACGAGGUAAGCAUUAAUCCCUCCAGGAAGCUGAGGCUCAGGGAAAUUAACUUGAAUUUAUGUGUAAAAUAAUAAUAAUAUUUACUUCAUUGGGUUUGUGAGGAUUAACUGGGUUGGAUUGUAGACCAAACGUCCUGCUGCAUGGGAAGCUUUAAGUAAUUUAGCUAGUACUAUUAAGGUCAUGUAGCUAUAAAGUUGGAGAGUUGGGAUUACAUCCCUGAUCCAUUGUUUCAUUUCAGAGCCUGUGCCUUUUUCAUCACUGUGUUCCAAUGCCAUGGGCAAAAUAUUUGGUGCAAUAAUUAUCCUUCUCAUUAUGAGCUCCAGAAGGGCAAAGGAUGAGACUUUUUCUUUUGUAUCAUCUACUAGUAUCCUGUACCCACGGUCAUAAAUGUUGGCAACUUGACUGACUUGGCAGGGAUACUGUUUCUAGUCUUGGUUUCCAGAAGAAUGAUUGGUAGGUCUUGCGAGUCUGGGUAGGACUCAGAGGAAUGUUGGUAUAGUGUGCCUCAUACCUAAUAUUUUAAAGGCCCUCCCUCCCCUACUAUUCUACUCCCUGCAUCUUGAUUUUAGAUUUUGUUUCCUUUGUGCCUGUGUAAAGAAGGGGCUGGGUCUGUGUACAGGCAGAAUUAACAUUUUUCCAAUUAGCUCUGCCAGUAUUUCUGUUUCAUUCUGAAGUCCCUUCUGGUGGUCGUGCCCUGGGAUUUUCAAAGAGAGCCUUUUUCACUCGAGGGGUAAAAAUGUCUUUGUGUUUUUGGAGGUAAGAGAAUUAAAAAAAAGUCAUUGAGUCUUAUAACCCUAGAGAACUUUCCUGAAAGGGAAUUUGAGUAAAAAAUGAGCUGUCAGCGUCCUUGAGGUCCCUUGCUAGUCACUGAAUGAUGCCUCAUUUGUCAAAUAUAGUUGUCUGUCUUUCCUUGAAGAUCCUGCUGCUGGUGGGGGAUCUCCAUGCUGUGCGUGAGGAACUCAACAACAAAGUCAGGACCAGCAGUUUUGUUCUUGGGGGUGCCUUGUGUGACUCAGGUUUUUUUCCCCUCUAGUUUUCUUUUUAUUAUGGUAAAAUAUACAUAACCCAAAAUUUACCAUUUUAAUCCUUUUUAAGUGUAUGAUUCAUCAGCAUUAAGAGCACUCACAUUGUUGUGUGACUGUCACCACCAUCCAUCUCCAGAACUCUUUCAUCCUCCCAGACUCAAAUUGAGGGUCCAUUACACAGGGACUCCCCAUUCUCUCUCCUUUGAGCCCCUGGCGACCACCAUUCUGCCUUCUGUCUCUACAAGUUUGUCUGCCUGUGUUUCAGUUUUAUAACUCCAUAAUUUAUUGGUUUAAAUUGAGGCCUACUACCUUCCUUUUUUCCCUUGUUGCGGUUAUUAUCUGAUUAUUGGGAUUGAUGUUCCACUGCUAGAUCUAUGUGAGGAUGUGAACUUAAUGCAAUUCCCUUGCGAUCAGUAUUCCCUCUUGCUUCUCUAUAUAGUAACCCCUUAAAUUUCAUUAUCACACCAUGAGGGCAAGAACUGUAUCUAUUCUGUUUACCACUGUAUAACCAGGGUCUAGUGCCUUGUUUGUAGAAGAACAAAUGUACAGAAUAAACAAAUGCUGCCGAUCUUUAUCACUGAAAAAAUUAUUUACUUAAAAAUUCAUUUAAAUAUCUUUUGCUGAGAGUUUCUACUAUGCAGGAGACCAGCUAAAACAGCAACUCCUACCCUUCUGUGAUUCUCUCUCUAAAAAUAAGCUGUGGUGGUCCAAUCCAGUUGACUCUGGGCUUCUGCCCCUCCAGAUCACUUAUUUAUUCUUUAAUUUAUUCAUCCAUCAAAUAUUUAUUGAGUACCUGCUACGUUUUAUGUGCUGGCUGUGCAAUGAUGCACAAAAUGGCCACGAUCCUUGAACUCAUGGAAAGAGUCCUAGUAGAGAGCACAGGCUAUAAAAAGUGAACACACAAAUGAUACAUUAGUUGUAAAUUUUGUGGAGGAUAAAAGAUGGGAUGCUAUCAGAAAGAUUGAUGAUGGGUGGACAACUUUAAAUCGAUGGAACUGGAGAAAUGAUAACUGUUUUCAUGUUGGUGAAGAGCUGUGCUCUCUAUAUAGGAGAGCAAGAGGGCAUGUUGGGAAGAUGUAAAAAGGUCGAAGGGGUAGACAUUCUUAGAGUACAGAUUUUGGCUGCUUAUGGAAGAAUUUGCAACUAGAGCUCUUCAAAGUUGAAACGCGUGGCCUUUUUUCAGGUUGUCUGUCACUGGAAUGAUAUCACUAGCUAGGCACAGCUUCGGCUAACAGUGGCAGGUUGUUUUCCAAACCUGGUUGGCCUUCAGAAUCACUAAUUUAUGUGGAAAGGUCCAGGCCAGUGCUUUGUAUUUAAUGGUAAUGCUUAAUAAAUCCUGUGGAAUUUGAUUUUGCAUUGCUCUUUGGUAUGUUUAAUCACGGCAGCCAAGAUGAAAAGAAUCUGAAAAUGAUUCUAAAUUAUUUCCAGCUCACAAACAAAAUUAAUUGCUCAGCAGCAUUGGUUAACAUACUGUCUGAUUAGGUCUGAAUGCUGCCAACUGUGGUCCACUAAUGUGCUAAGUGUACGUAGUAACCUUGUGGAUACAGCUUUCUGAUGACUUGCCUUUCAGUGCCUAACCUGGAGUGAAGACUUGAGAUGCCAGUAGGCUCUUUCAACUCAAUAUCUGUUGAUAGAACUCAUCGGAAUAAUAUGUAUCUUAAAGAUUUGGGUAAUUUGUUUUACAGUAGCUCACUAAAAUGUCAGUUAACAGUCAGAUAGAUAUCAAGUAUUUAAGGACCAUCUACUGUUCCAGGCACUACUGAUGAAAGAUGGACCUAACGUUGGUAGUAAUUUUCACUCUGCACAUGUUGAUGACACCAAAUGGGUAGGCUUUGUGAGAUAGAACCUGUUGCCAUUAUAUCAAUUAUUAUAAAAGUGUAAUAGUACUUUGGCAUUUGAUUAUGCUGUAUUUGAAGGUGACUUUACAUUAUCACUUAGAGCUAAUCUAUUAUAUUUACAUAUUGAAUUUCCAGCAGUGCUUAACUGUAGAUGGUCAAGAUUUGAAGACUGUAUAGUUGAGUAAAAUAGGUUAUUAGAUGAAAUGACUUAGCUUUGACACAUUCCACUAAAAAGCAAUUUCAUUAUUAUUGCAGUUAGUAAGUGAUACUGUACAACGUACGGUGCAAGUUCAUUACUCCCACUGUGGUAUUGGGCUGGUCACAAGCAUGAUUUUAGUAGCAUCAAUUCCACAUGUGUGACGAUGACAUGUGUAGUGUUAAAUAUCUGGAUGUAGUGUUCGCCUGAAGAAUUCGAUAUUAGAAUUUUAGACUUACUCUGAAUUCAAGUCUCAGACGGUACCCAUCAACAAUAGCAAAACUCCUUUCCUUUUCCUUGUUGGGUGCUUGUUACCACCCUUACUUUUGAAAUGCGUUAACCAGGAAAAUUGCGUUCUAUUUGAACCUUCGUUAGUUCAAACCUGUUAACAUGCUAUGGUUAUAGAUUUGUGGGCGGGUAGCGGUAGGCAUCAGUUUCUAUUGUGCCGCCCUUAACUAUAAAUACAACAUAUUUGUAAGCUACAAACCUUGAAUUUAUCUCCCCUAUUUCCAGGUAGUAAAAAUUCUACCUCAUUUAUAGUCUCAUAACCUAAUCCUUCUUAAGCAGCGUAACCCACUGAAUUUACUGAUCUUUUGUCCAUAAACUACAAAUGCUCAAUAAUAGGCUAAAUUUGCAUGACAGCAUCUGCAGGUGAUCUAAGUGUUCCCCUUGUGAAGCUGCAUGAUUUUAAAUAUGGGACCAUGAAUGCCUCUUGGGCAGGGAAUUGAUUUCCAGCAUUUUAACAAGGAGGGUGUGUAAGUGUGCAUCGAGGCUCUGAACUCUGUUGUUAACUGGGCAGAUUUCAGAGCGAUGUUUGUCUGCAGCAUGAGUGCACUUACAUUAUUUACUACAAACAACAUUUCCCUCCAGUAUUUAUAUUUAAGUGAUUUUUAUUCUAACCUUGCAAUAAUCAGGAAAAGAGGACUUUAUUUUUUUUUCUCUUCUAAGUGCAUUUUACUGUAGGAUAUUUAGCAGUGUUAGAGUAUCAAAAACAUACUGAUUUUGUUAUUGGUAACGUUAAAUUUCAAGUACUAUAUUUUAGAUUGAAUUAUAUCCCGUUAAAUUGCCGAAUAUUUGCUUCUGUAGAAUAAAUUUAGGAAUAAGACAAAGUCGGAGAUGAAAUAAUUUGGAUACAGUUUCACUCUUGUAGAGAUUUUUCUACUUUGGCGCUUUGGGAAAUUUCAAUAAGAACAUAAGCAGUGGCAGUUUGAAGGUACUAAUCAAAAUGGGAAAGAUCUUUCUGACCACAGGCACCUUUGUGCCUCCACAAAACAUCUAGAGUUAAAACACCACCACCAUCGACACUCUAUUAUAAACCAGUCUGUUUUGUUGGAAAUGCUGAGUUAUGAGAAGGAUGGUGUGUGUGCCUCUCACUGGUUUCUAUAUGGUACAUUCACC